GGACUUGUAGCUCAAUGGUCAGAGCAGUCAACAAUUUAUGAAUUGUUGGACAUCUUGUGGGUUCGACUCCCACCAAGUCCU
rnacentral:tRNA from 1 species